UCAUUCUCGAUGAGCGCGUUGUAGAUAAUCUUCAGAUUGUAAUUCCUCUGCGCGUCCAGUGUCCUAUUCAGCACCACCACUAAGACCUGGGUUUGCGGGUAGAGGAAAAAACCGGCCACAGGGACAGCCCCAAACGCCCUGUCCUCAGCCAGCUGCACUUUCUCCACCGCCACUCGGGAAGCGUGCAGCACUACGUAGCGGGUGGCGUUCCGGCACGCGAUCUCCACGUUGACCUCCCCGGAGAAGGUGAAGUUCUCCAUGAAGGCGGUGAGCAUCAGAUUGUAGUGCAGCGGCUUCAGGUGGCCCGACAGGCGCAGCUGCGUCCACGGCUGCCACGGCUCCCGCUCCUCCUCCGACGGCUGCUGGGCCGACGGGGUCCCCGGACUGGCCACCCCACUCGCCUCAGGCUGCAAGGAGUCCCCGCCCGCGUGGUGGUUGCGCCGGGCCGAUCCGGGGAGGCUCCCGUUGGCGCCGCGCUCCGGAAAGCCUGCGGGGCCACCUUCGGCGCCUGGCGUGGCACUCACCCCGCACUCGUCGAAGCGCAGGCUGAGCAGCACGGCAAGCAUGGUGACCGCGAGCAGUGCCACGAGGGACACGGCGAAGGCUAGCACAAGCCGCUUGUGUACCGCGAUGUGGCGCUCCGUGGUGCGGGGUCGCACUCCCACUGAGUCUGCCCACGGGUCGGAGAGCCCCCUGCCGCCAGCCCGAAGCGCGGCGUCGUCUUCCCCCAUUCUGGCCGCGAAGGCGGCGGCGUUCAGUCCUCUGGGUGGAAUGUGCUCUCAGCGGCAGUGACGGCUGCCACAGCACUGGAGGCACCCGAGCCAUACACCCUGCAGCUGGAGAGGAAAGGAUGGCCGAGGUGGGAGAGACUAGAGUGAACCAGCAGGAGGAAGUCCUAGGGCCGCGAAGCUACGGCGGAGAUCUGUCCUGGAAAAGCCUUCUCCACCCUGGGCACUUUAAGCGGCGGUGGCGGCAAACAGCAGGAGGUUGCAGACCCGACAGCGAGCCUGCCUCAUUCCAGUCUUGCUCUGCCCUCCGGAGAUGACAAGUGAGAAAGAAGUGUCCGGCCGGGCCAUCCCCUUCAGAGAAGCAACCACUUCACAAGAAGAUUCUGAAGUUGGCCAUUUUGAAUCCCAGAACAGUUUCUCAUAGAUUAGAAAUAUUGGAAUCUGCACAGAAAUCGAUAUUCAUUUACAAGAUCAUCAAACUUAUCUUGCAUAACAUAAGUGGCAAGCUCUGACUUGUGAUUUUUUCAUAAAAAAAAUGUUUUUUAACUCAGUAUCAUCAUUUCUACAAGUGUCCCAUGAUAAUUGAUUCUAGGUGAUUUGAAACACUGUUUAGUCCUGUUUUAGAAAAAGCUCCUGUAUCUGAUUUAGUCUCAUAUGCAGCUUACUUCUAACAUCAGAUUGAAUUUGCAUUGAGUUACCUUACUCAGUUUGGUUUUUAAUUAUGUUGCACUUACAAGGGAAUAAGGAAAAGUCAGUAUAGUGUGUUGAAAUAUCUUUUUUAAUUGAGACACACAGGAAAUGUUACAGGUUCCCAAACCUUCUUCAUGUAUUAGACAUGUUAUAAUAAUCUUUUGAAUAGCCAAGUGAAAAGGAAUGGUUUCACCUGAACAUGUUAGAAUUUAUUGCUACAUUUUUGUGUGUUGUGGUGGAGAAAUAAAUUUUUAAAUUGUAUUUAUGGAGUCAUUUCAGAACAAGUAGAAAUCAUAUGUAAUCUGGUCACUUUGAAUGUGUAAGUGUUUGCUCUGAACUCCUCCUGCCCUAUUAAGAGUUGAAGGUUGUACUAUAUGUUACUCAAAAAGUAAUUUUCCCCGGAUAUGCAAUAAGGCCUCAGAUUUGACCUAUAACCUGAAUGUCAUAAGCUAUCCAUUAUCUAUGCUGGAAGCACACCACCAACAACAAAAAAAUUUUAAGUAUUUUUAUAGGCUUGCUAAAAUCCGAUUAUAGAACCAAGGCAGUCAAAUACCAUGAGUAAGACUGCAGAAACCCUAGAAUUUAACUCCCUAGUUAUUCUUAAUGAGCGAAUACUAUGCUUUGUGUCUAAAAGCAAUGUAUUACACUUUCCAAUUCAGAAAAUGCAUUUUAAUUGUUAUACCCAUUGAUACAUCAAUCUGUCCAUGACAUUCUGACAUAUAUAUACAGUUUCCUAUGGAUUUGGUAUAGGAGCAAAUUAAAAGAUACACUAGAAUGGUAACAUUUAAUCUAUAAUCCUCCAUUUAACCUUUAUGUGGCUGUCACUGAACAAGUCCUGUUUUUAGAGUUGAACCAAAAAACAAAAACAAAAACAAAAAAAACAUGCACACACAGUAGAGAAAGUGUGUUUUUUAACCUGGAGACCGUGAAAAAGUUUUGACCAUUCCCCCACCCCCAUGCUUCAACUUUAGCUUUGAUAGUGAGAGUAUGUCUUCCUUCAGUUUAAGUUGAACAUACUUCUGCAUAAGACCCUCCAGAAAACCUCUUGAACACAUACAGUUUUGGGGGCAAUGGGGACUGAACUAUGUGCAAAUACGUGAUACCUCAGCACACAAUUCCUGGGAUAAAUUUUAUCCUCUUCUCAUUUUUAUUCUUGUUAACUACAUGGGGUUUUUUAAACAAGUUACCAGAAGCAAAACACAUUUUACCUUUACUCUGAUACAUGUUUCAAAUUAAGCAGAUCCCAAUUAAUUGGGUUACAUUAUAUAACAAUAGCCUUUUUAAUAUAAUAUGGUUUUUAUGAUCUCUCUUUGAUUUUUCUUAAAAUGAGACCGCACUAAAGAUUUUCUUGAUAUUUCUGAGAAUUUCAUUUUCAGUUUCAAGAAAUUAUUUAUUCAUUUAAUCUUUCAAUGUGGAAAAGAAUACUGAUUCAUUUUUAGAAGUGCUAACAUUCAACUAGGUAAACUUCAUAUGUGAUGGCUAUUAAUGUUCUCUUUCAUCUUCUAGACAGAAAAUCAAAGCUAUUUAAAGUAAAGGAUUUGUUUCAAAUCAAUGUACGUCUACAAGUUAACAUUAAUGUUUACAAACACUUUCUGUGAUCAUUGUGUCUUAUUUGGCUGUAUAUAUGUCUUUAUAUCUAUCUGUAAAGAUGUAGUUGCAAGUAGAUGAGAGACGAAUGUUCAUGUUUCUAUAUAGUCUGAAUAAAAGUGUUAUCACUAUGCUAACCUGCAGUGUUAUAAAAUGCACCAGUAGCUCUUUGUGCCACUCCUUCAUUUUCAGUGGUUACCAAGAUAGUCAAAUUAAACUGCUGAUGUGAGAAUCAUCCAAAUAUUUAAUUCUAACACUAGGCUUAUAGACUUUUUCUAUUUCUAUGAGAUUUACCUAUAGUAGAUUUCUGUUUAAUGUUCAAUGUUCUAUAGCAGUUUCCUUUUAAAUGUUCAGAGCAGGAGCUAUACCCUCUAGGAUGUGCAAAUAAUCAAGUCUUAGCAACAUUAUAAAAUAUAAUCCACAUUAUGAAUCAAACAGAAUGAGCCUUCAGAUCUGAUUGCCUAAGGCUCAAAAUGUUAAUGCUCCUGAAACACCUUGUACAUAUUAGCUAGUUGAAAUUGCAUUAAAACAAGAGAACGAAUUGUAGUCUUGACCUCAGUCUCACUUCACCAGUCUUUGCCUGCUACUGCCAGCCUGAGAGGGGAGCUUCUGCUCUGUAGAUGGAUGGACAGCUGCUGAUCUUCACCUCCUGUCUGUUCCCACAAUUCUAAAAGAAUUAGGCCUGAGGAACUUUAUCUUCUGGUGUUCUAUUGUGAACUGACUUUAUUAAAUUUUUUCCAAAGUUCAAUGUUCUUCAGUUCUUUCUUGGGAGUGCAAAUUGAAGAGACACAGAGUCAGUUCCAAAUGAACUGAAAUUGUUUUGUAAAAAAUUAAUUCAAACAAUAAUGCCAUGGAAGAGCACUUUGAAUUUUUCAAUUCCCAGGCUAUUGAUUCUAAAAAAGAAACAAUUCUAAAUUAUCCACAUGCUCUCAUUUAUUAGUCUAGAGCUCUUGCCCAAAGAAUUAUUUGCCAAGGUAAUAUAUAGAACAUCAGGAUGAUUUACUUGCUUUUCUAAUACCGUUUUGCCCACAAACUCUAUGGAACUGAAAGCAUGUCAGCAGCAAAAGAAGGUCCACUAGCAGCUAUAAAAGAGAGCUCACUAAUGAACAAUAAAUAUCUAAAAGUAAAGGGAAAGGAGCUGAAUUCCAUUUUCAAAAGCCAAACUUCUGCAGUAGGUAAAUAUCACAGAUAGCAUUGCUUAUUAUUUAUAAUCACCAAGAGUAAUUUAUCAUUUAUUUAAAUCCUCAAAUAUGUCGCUGCCAGCCACAUUUCCACCUGCAGAAAAGUUUGUUGUGACUGCCUGGUUUUGUAAAGUCCAGACAACUUUACACUAAACUUAAUAACGUUCAUUUACUCAAAAGCUGUUCUAAAAUUGUGUAGUUGAUGAACACUAAAUGAAAGUUAGUGCUUUAACUGAAAGAUAAUUUUCUAUACCCUUUGGAGUCCAGUCCAGUACCAUCAAGAUCUGGGAAAAUACAACUAGUAAGCACUUUGACUUUUUCUCAGAAAAUCAUUAUCUACUUCCUUCAUACUUACUUAACAUCUCAAGAAGAGGAAAGAAAGGUGGGGGAGGGGAAAUAUCUAAAAUUUUAAUCUAAAUCUUUCUUAAACUGUACCUUUCAAAUACAUAAAAUACUGUGUGAAAGGGCUGUAAAAAGUAGUAUCUAGUAAUGACUUCCAACUCUAUAACUUGGUAUAAGCCUUAUGGAAAGUAAUUUACCAACGGCUGUCAAAAUUCACAAAUCUAAAGACUGUAGCAAGACUCUUGAGAUACCUUGUAACUAUUGGCAUGAUUCUCUUCUACUAGAAUGAAAGUUUCUUAGAGGGCAGGAAACACGUAUGUUCAUUUCUGUAUCCACAGAGCAAGCAAAGAUUCUGAGACAUACUGUUCUUCAUAUGCAUAUUUCGAAUGAAUGAAGGCUCCAUUUGGUCGUAUUUAUCAUCAGCUUCUUGGCCCUUACUACUCCCUUCUCUCAUUUAAAGCUUGUGUCCUCUUCCUUGCCCAGCACUCUUUUGGUUGCAUACCUGAUAAGGGUGCUCUUCAGCUUGGCCUCCUUUGACUUUAUUCCUCCCCUGUUCUACUUUUAGAGUCUCAAUAAACUCUUAUUUCUUAUAGUGGAAAAAUGCAUUUAUAAAUCAAGACUGUGCAUUGAAUUUGCUCAUUGCUGCUCAGGUGUUGUUGCUCCCAUGUCCAGUUGCUCCCAGUGAGCCACUCUAUUGGAGUUGAUCCCACAGCCAAGACCCUACUCUUCCCUAGCUCUAGCCUAGAAACUUGUCACCAGAGCAUUAAUCUACAUUUUAGAGAGGAUUUUCUACCAAAAAGAACUGCAUCAUUUUUCCUGAAUAAAUAAUGUAUUCUAGAAUCAGUGUGUGAUCCUCUCAGCUUCCUUGUUGGAAACCAAAUGAUGGUUCUCCUGGAGAAAUAAUUCAACUAAAUGUUGAAACAAUUUAGGCUGUACGAUAGAGUCAUACUUGACAGAAGAGUUAGAUUUUGAAAUCAGCAUAUAAGGUAAGAAGUACCUAAUGUCAAAUUUGCACUUGAAAAAAAAAUUCCUAAACUGUGUACACUUCGCAUUAAACCAUGAUUUUGCAGAUCCAUUCCUAUACAGCAACAUUUAUAUAUUGAUGUGCAUAGAAAGUAUGUGCCAUCUUACAAUAUUUUCAGUAUUUUAAUUAAGUUGAAUUUGAAUAAAUAAAAUACUCACAUGCUAUAACUCGGCUGUUUUAAGAACACUGCUACCAAUUCACUACUAUGUUUACGUGAUGCCUAAAUAGGCAGCCAAUGCAGAAAGGUCAGUUAGAAAAUGAUGCCAAUGCUUGCUUUUCUUUCUUUCCAUUGAAAGGGUGCCGGUGAGUGUCAGGGUCCAUACAAACUGGGAGCUGGAGUGGGCAUGAAGGCAGUUUGACGGGAGUCAGGGUCUAUGGAGGGAGGGCUGCUGAGCAGGGCAGAGACCUGGUAGAAUCAGAUGCUUGGCUCCUCACAGGGAGUCCACUUUCCUAAUGCUGGAGAAGGUACAAACAUGGAAAGAGGAAAAGUUGAGGUGAAUGAUGUGGUAUUAGAUUGCAGUUGGAAGAGUGGAUAUAUAAGUAUAUAUGACAUGUAAAUAAACAUGGAUUUAAGGGUCUGUCUGUAUGUAUUCAUUGAAGGAACCUGGGAGCAACAAUGCCUGAGCAGCACUGAGCAAAUUUAACGCCUGGUCUUGAUUUCUAAAUGCAUCUUUCCACUGUAAGAAACAAGAGUUUAUUGAGACUCUAAAAGUAGAACAAGGGAAGAAUAAGGAGCUUUGAACAUCUUGGGUCAGAAGUUACCAAGAAUAACUGUAGAAUGUGCUGGGAAUGCAAUGUCCUGAGAUAAGGAGGAACUGCCUGAAACAGCCUGGACCUUAUUCCUGUACUUCCUAGGGAAUGUAACAUCUCAAGUUAAAGAGGAACUGCCUGGGACAGCCCUGGGAUUGUUCCUCUCUCCUGGGAAGGAAGAUCACCUCCAAAGCUUAUCCAUUGAGUCACACUACCCCUGUGGUGGCAGGCUGCCUCUCCAGGUUCCUCAGCUGUGGUGCAACAGAAGCAAGCACAAUCAAGACUCCAUCUGUUCAAGGCAGUUUUGUCAAACCUUGGGGAACCUAUUCACAAUGGAUCACAGGCUUCUUUUGUUUCUUGCUGCUUAUCUUGGGAAGCAAAAAUCAGCUGAGUGAAGAUGAAGAAGAAGGUGUCAAAGGUUUGAAGAGAAAAAAUGAAAAGGAUAUACUAAUCCAAGGGGAUGCGUAAGUAGAACAUAGAUAAUGAAAAUGCUGGCCCUUAGGAUUGUUGGGCAUAAAUGCUCAUAUGAUAUUGGUGGUCACAAAUUUGAACUUUCUCUAAAGCCAAUUUUUGCAUGUGUGUGCAGGCCUGGAGUAGUUGGAGAGGUGGAUUUAAUAGGAUUGAGGAUCAAGCAACUACAACCAGAGAAGAGUGGGACAAGGGAGAUAAAGGAUAUUGGCAGGGGAACAAUUAUAAACAUGGACCAUGAUCAAAACUGAAUUUGAAGGAAAAUAGGGAUAAGAGGGGUGGAAGGUAAAAAAUAGUGGAAAUGAGAUAGAAUUAAAAGAUUGUAGGUCCCUGUAAAGUUGAAGAAGUAUUAUUAUGCAGUACUCGUUAUUGAAAUGAGGUCACUAUGCUUAAGGCACAGUGAAUCCUAGAAAACAGUGGCUUUUGUUUCUCAUUAGGCAAUACAUUCCUCUUUGCUCCAGAAUGCAACAUACAUGCAUCCUUUUCUGUACUAUUAUUUAUUAGGAAUUCAUACUUAAUUCCACUGACUGCCACUCAAUUUUAAUGUACAGUAGGGAAUUCCUGUACUAUAUAUUAUGAAUCCAUUCCUUUGAAUUUCAUUUAUAAUACUUCAUGACUGACACCUGGCUUUCCACCAAGACUCAAUUUUCAUAGCAAACCUCAUCAUCAUAAGCCCCGAAAUUAAUAGGAUGAGGAGGAAGAAUUGGCAGGCUAAAGAAGAUGAUUAUAUCAAUUAAUGCAGAGAAAGCACUUGAUAAAAUCCAAUAUUCGUUUGUAAUUAAAAACUCUCAACAAGUUAGGAAUAGAUAGGAAUUACUUCAACUUAAUGAAGAGUAUCUUUAAAAACCUUGAGUAUUUUCAUCAAUUAUAACAAAUGUACCACUCUGGUGGUGAAUGUUGAUAAGGAGGGAAGCUAUACAUGUGUGGGGAAAGGAGAUAUGUGAGCAAUUUCUGUACCUUCUACUCAAUUUUCUGUGAGCCUAAACUUGCUGUAAAAAAUAAAGUUCAUUUUU